AGUGAACGCUGGCGGUAGGCCUAACACAUGCAAGUCGAACGGCAGCACAGCAGUAGCAAUACUGUGGGUGGCGAGUGGCGGACGGGUGAGGAAUACAUCGGAAUCUACCCUGUCGUGGGGGAUAACGUAGGGAAACUUACGCUAAUACCGCAUACGACCUUCGGGUGAAAGUAGGGGAUCGCAAGACCUUACGCGAUUGGAUGAGCCGAUGCCGGAUUAGCUAGUUGGCGGGGUAAAGGCCCACCAAGGCGACGAUCCGUAGCUGGUCUGAGGGGAUGAUCAGACACACUGGAACGGAGACACGGUCCAGACUACUACGGGAGGCAGCAGUGGGGAAUAUUGGACAAUGGGCGCAAGCCUGAUCCAGCCAUACCGCGUGGGUGAAGAAGGGCUUCGGGUUGUAAAGCCCUUUUGUUGGGAAAGAAAUCCUGUCGGUUAAUACCCGGUAGGGAUGACGGUACCCAAAGAAUAAGCACCGGCUAACUUCGUGCCAGCCGCCGCGGUAAUAC
rnacentral:rRNA from 1 species